rnacentral:RNase_P_RNA from 1 species
CGAGUUGGCCGGGCGGCCGCGGCUCGUCGAAAGACGAGUCGAGGAAAGUCCGGACUUCACAGAGCAGGGUGAUUGCUAACGGCAAUCCGAGGUGACUCGCGGGACAGUGCCACAGAAAACAAACCGCCACCCGUACGGGUGGUAAGGGUGAAACGGUGCGGUAAGAGCGCACCAGCAUUCCGGGUGACCGGGAUGGCUAGGUAAACCCCACCCGAAGCAAGGCCAAGAGGCCGCACCUGGUGCGGCUGCGCAGGCGUUCGAGGGCUGCUCGCCCGAGCCUGCGGGUAGGCCGCUCGAGGCACCCGGCGACGGUGUGCCCAGAUGGAUGGUCGCCACCGCGCCGCCGCUCGCCGGCGGAGCGGAACAGAAUCCGGCUUACAGGCCAGCUCGUCCG